rnacentral:rRNA from 1 species
GAUAGUACCUUACUGCUUGGAUACCCGUAGUAAUUCUAGAGCUAAUACAUGCAUCAACGCCCAAUCGGGCCGCGUUUAUUAGAUAGAAACCCAUAUUUUUGGUGAAUCAUAAUAACUGUGCGAAUCGCAUGGGUUUACCCCGGCGAUGAAUCAAUCAAGUUUCUGCCCUAUCAGCUUUCGAUGGUAGGGUAUUGGCCUACCAUGGCGUUAACGGGUAACGGAGAAUUAGGGUUCGAUUCCGGAGAGGGAGCCUGAGAAACGGCUACCACAUCCAAGGAAGGCAGCAGGCGCGUAAAUUACCCAAUCCUGACACAGGGAGGUAGUGACAAUAAAUAACAAUGCCGGGCUUUUUCAAGUCUGGCAAUUGGAAUGAGAACAAUUUAAAUCCCUUAACGAGGAUCAAUUGGAGGGCAAGUCUGGUGCCAGCAGCCGCGGUAAUUCCAGCUCCAAUAGCGUAUAUUAAUGUUGUUGCAGUUAAAAAGCUCGUAGUUGGAUUUCUGGUGGGAGCGGCCGGUCCGCCGCAAGGUGUGUACUUGGUUGUCUCCUGUCAUCCUUGUGGGAACUGCUCUGGCAUUAAGUUGUCGGGGUUGGGGAACACAUCGUUUACUGUGAAAAAAUUAGAGUGUUUAAAGCAGGCUUAUGCCGUUGAAUACAUUAGCAUGGAAUAAUAAGAUAGGACUUUGGCGUCUAUUUUGUUGGUUUGCACACCAAAGUAAUGAUUAAUAGGGAUAGUUGGGGGUAUUCGUAUUUAAUUGUCAGAGGUGAAAUUCUUGGAUUUAUGAAAGACGAACUUCUGCGAAAGCAUUUACCAAAGAUGUUUUCAUUAAUCAAGAACGAAAGUUAGGGGAUCGAAGAUGAUUAGAUACCAUCGUAGUCUUAACCAUAAACUAUGCCGACUAGGGAUUGGCGGUCGUUCAUUUAUGACUCCGUCAGCACCUUAUGAGAAUCAAGUCUUUGGGUU